rnacentral:rRNA from 1 species
AUUGAACGCUGGCGGCAGGCUUAACACAUGCAAGUCGAGCGGAGAGAGGUAGCUUGCUACUGAUCUUAGCGGCGGACGGGUGAGUAAUGCUCAGGAAUCUGCCUAUUAGUGGGGGACAACAUUUCGAAAGGAAUGCUAAUACCGCAUACGUCCUACGGGAGAAAGCAGGGGAUCUUCGGACCUUGCGCUAAUAGAUGAGCCUAAGUCGGAUUAGCUAGUUGGUGGGGUAAAGGCCUACCAAGGCGACGAUCUGUAGCGGGUCUGAGAGGAUGAUCCGCCAAACUGGGACUGAGACACGGCCCAGACUCCUACGGGAGGCAGCAGUGGGGAAUAUUGGACAAUGGGCGGAAGCCUGAUCCAGCCAUGCCGCGUGUGUGAAGAAGGCCUUAUGGUUGUAAAGCACUUUAAGCGAGGAGGAGGCUACUUUAGUUAAUACCUAGAGAUAGUGGACGUUACUCGCAGAAUAAGCACCGGCUAACUCUGUGCCAGCCGCCGCCGUAAAAC